rnacentral:rRNA from 1 species
UACGUAGGUGGCAAGCGUUGUCCGGAAUUAUUGGGCGUAAAGCGCGCGCAGGCGGCCUCUUAAGUCUGAUGUGAAAGCCCCCCGGCUCAACCGGGGAGGGCCAUUGGAAACUGGGAGGCUUGAGUAUAGGAGAGAAGAGUGGAAUUCCACGUGUAGCGGUGAAAUGCGUAGAGAUGUGGAGGAACACCAGUGGCGAAGGCGACUCUUUGGCCUAUAACUGACGCUGAGGCGCGAAAGCCGUGGGGAGCAAACAGG